GACGAACCGUGCGAACGUUAUUCGGAAUCACUGGGCUUAAAGCGCGUGUAGGCGGGACGGCACGUCGGUCGCUGAAAAGCCCCCCGGCUCAACCGGGGAACGGGCGCCGAUACGACCGUCCUGGAGGGACGUAGGGGGGACCUGGAACAUCCGGUGGAGCGGUGAAAUGCGUUGAGAUCGGAUGGAACGCCCGUGGCGAAAGCGAGGUCCUGGACGUUUUUCUGACGCUGAGACGCGAAAGCCAGGGGAGCGAACGGG
rnacentral:rRNA from 1 species